rnacentral:lncRNA from 1 species
AUAGAAACAUGGAAUUGGAAACAAGAGACAAAGACAUAGAAUCCACAAAAUCAAUGAUGAAAUGGCAAGGAGAUGUGGCAUUAACCAUGUUGGAGCGUGCUUUAAACACUUCUUGUAAAUAGCAACUAAUAUUUGACCCAAAGUAAUGUAUUAAUGUUAGAACAAAAAUAUAAAAAUCCGAAUCAAUCCAAAGUUAUAAAGACCCAUCAUUAUGGCAUGAUUCCCAUGAUUACAUUCCAAAGCAUCUUUUGAACACCAAUCAUAUGAAACAAUAACAUCAGCAAAAAGACAUUUAGAAAGUAAUCUGAAUACAAAA